rnacentral:lncRNA from 1 species
AUGAAAGGAUUCCAGGAUCAAAAGGGACACACCAUGUUUAUAAGCCUCAGGCCCUGUAAAACCUGGAUUUGCUCUGCUCCAUACCUUCACUCUCAGGUGGGUGUAUUCAGUAGCUGCUGGGGGUUCAUGUGUAGAGGGAAGCAGCAUGCUGUAGUGAAAGGAGAAAACCUGAUCCUGCCAUCUACAUGCUGUGUGGUUUCAGCAAGUUUCUUAGCCUCUCUGAACUUUAGUUUCCUCAGCCCUAAAAUUUGGAUGAUCCUACUUCACAGAAUUAUUGUAAGACCUAAAGGAACACUUAGCAUAGUGCCGGGCAUAUGAUCAGCACUCAAUAUUACUUCCCUUUUCCCCUCCCUCUCUCUUGAAUGGUUCACAGGUUUACCUUAGGUCAGGGACCCAGGGGAGGAAAUAUUUUAUCUUUUGAAAAUGAAUUUUGAUAAAAGGGUAUUAAAAAGAGAGCUGGGGUUUCCCCUGUGACGUUUGUCUUUAACAAGCCCUAAACAAGAUGAAUCAUGAUGGGAUUUUCUAUAAAGCAAAGAAUCAAGUGCUUUCAUCAAUUGUGUAGAGCAUUGCACCAAAAGUUCCAAUUCU